rnacentral:rRNA from 1 species
UACAGGGGGGGCAAGCGUUGUUCGGAAUUACUGGGCGUAAAGGGCUCGUAGGUGGCCAACUAAGUCAGACGUGAAAUCCCUCAGCUUAACUGGGGAACUGCGUCUGAUACUGGAUGGCUUGGAUUCGGGAGAGGAAUGCGGAAUUCCAGGUGUAGCGGUGAAAUGCGUAGAUAUCUGGAGGAACACCGGUGGCGAAGGCGGCAUUCUGGACCGACAUUGACGCUGAGGAGCGAAAGCCAGGGGAGCAAACGGG